rnacentral:rRNA from 1 species
AGCGGCGGACGGGUGAGUAAUGCCUAGGAAGUUGCCCGGUAGAGGGGGAUAACCAUUGGAAACGAUGGCUAAUACCGCAUAAUCUCUAUGGAGCAAAGCAGGGGACCUUCGGGCCUUGUGCUACCGGAUACGCCUAGGUGGGAUUAGCUAGUUGGUGAGGUAAUGGCUCACCAAGGCAACGAUCCCUAGCUGGUCUGAGAGGAUGAUCAGCCACACUGGAACUGAGACACGGUCCAGACUCCUACGGGAGGCAGCAGUGGGGAAUAUUGCACAAUGGGCGAAAGCCUGAUGCACCCAUGCCGCGUGUAUGAAGAAGGCCUUCGGGUUGUAAAGUACUUUCAGUUGUGAGGAAGGGUGUGUAGUUAAUAACUGCAUAUCUUGACGUUAGCAACAGAAGAAGCACCGGCUAACUCCGUGCCAGCAGCCGCGGUAAUACGGAGGGUGCGAGCGUUAAUCGGAAUUACUGGGCGUAAAGCGCAUGCAGGUGGUUCAUUAAGUCAGAUGUGAAAGCCCGGGGCUCAACCUCGGAACUGCAUUUGAAACUGGUGAACUAGAGUACUGUAGAGGGGGGUAGAAUUUCAGGUGUAGCGGUGAAAUGCGUACAGAUCUGAAGGAAUACCAGUGGCGAAGGCGGCCCCCUGGACACGAUACUGACACUCACAUGCGAAAGCGUGGGGAGCAAACAGGAUUACGAUACCCUGUGUAGUCCACGCCGUAAACGAUGUCUACUUGGAGGUUGUGGCCUUGA